rnacentral:lncRNA from 1 species
AAUUAUUGUAUGUUGGAAAAUGAAUGUUUCUUCGACAAUGUUCCUGGAAAAUACAAAAAAUAAGCACAAUUAUAAUAUUAUUCUGCAUAUAUAGAACAUUAACCCAUUAAGCGCCAGCGCUCUCCCAUUGACGAGUAAAAUCGUCUGUCGUUAGACAGAGUAAAAUACUAACGUAGGGUGCAUCCGGGUGCAAUGCGACUCAAUGGGUUAAACAAUGUAAAAGAGUUGUACAGUUGCACUUGCCUGAUGAAGUCAAACUGUGCAAAUCCAAUUUCCAGCAUUGUUUCAUUUAAAAAUAAAUAUUUUUUAAAUUAUAUACGACACCAUGUUGAAAAAUUGCUCGAAGUAGGAUCUAUUUUGAGUACAGUGAACAUAUUGAAGGCAACAGCAACCCUCGAAAAAUGUCCAUAGAAAUAACAGCCUUAACUUAUUCUUUCAAAUAAAUGCUGUAGGACCCAAUAACAGACUAACCCAUUGAGUGGCAACACUCUCCCGAUGACAAAUAAAAUUGUCUGGUAUUAUACAUAAUAGAAUAACAAAAUUGAGUGCAUAUUGGUGUAUUUCCACCAGGGCUCGAAUUUUAUCGCGGCAAUUGCCGUAGAGGGAGUACAAAAUGCCGUGGAUCAUUGCGGAAACGACAGCAAUUUUUUGCCGUAUAGUAUAAUUUUUAUACUAUUCACUAAAUUACUAUAUUAACAAUAAAAUUAAAUUUUUGUUACAGUAAUUUGAAAAAAUGCCGUGGAAACUGCCAAAAUUGGCGUAGACAGCUGUUACGUUCUACGGCAAUUUUUAACGCCAUUGCCGUCGAUUGAUUUCAGGGAAAUUCGAGGCCUGAUUUCCACUUGACAGGUUAAUCUUUUAAGAGGCAAUCCACCCUCAUUAGCCAUACUUUAGUAUUUUACUCUGUCUAAUGCCAGACGAUUUUGCUCUGUCUAACGCCAGAUGAUUUUACUUGUCAAGUGGAGAGUGCUGCCACUCAAUGGGUUAAUAAUACUACAUACUAGAAUUUUAUAUUUUCAAAUAUAGGCAUAGUAUGCUGGUUGUGCGGUGAACGGGGGCAUGCCAGGAUCAAGUGCCCCCAAAGGCAUGGUUCAAAAGAGGGGAAGGGACGGCCAGUUGUUUUUAACCAUUGCAGAUUUGAUAAAUUAACAAUGUAAUUUUAUAUUGUUACUAUAUCAAAUCUGCAAUUGUUAAAAUUGUUUACAGUAAUAACGGCUAAAUUUGACAGUUAAACUUAGUUUAUUUUUCAGUUAAAUUUAUUAAAUUGAUAUAUUAGGGCUGUUUAUAUGGAAAAGCUAGCCCAUGCAGCCAUCUCACCAGGUCGAUUACUUUCUUCUCUGUUUUGCCUUCAAGAUUUUCUCAAAAAAGUUGAUAAAAAUAUUUGGUUCAGAUUAAGUGUAAACUGGUCUUUUAGUUAAUCAAGAUUUUCCUUUCGGCUUUGGGUCAAAGGAUAUAUUUUCUUGACAUAAAUUAGCAGAUAGCCCGCUUCAUACAACCAGCCCCCUUGAUAGUUUGUGUUGUUAUUACUUUAUACAUGAAACUGCACUAUCAUGAUCAUACUAUCAUGACCAUGACCCAUGUUCUAUAUAAUAAUAGCUCUAUAAAUAUACUUUAUUCGUUCAUUAUAAAAUAAAAAUUACAAAUGUGUAAAAGGUACUGUACCUGGUGGUUUGUCUUCACAACGCUAUAUACCAAUGAUAGCUGUACAAGUAUAUUCCAUCCUCUGUUUCUUUACAAUUUUCCAAUAAAGUGUUUGUCAUACAAGUUCAAGUCAGUAAUAUUAACAAUGUCACAGGCAAUUUCAUGCUGGCUUACAGUAACUGCCAUAACCCCGUGGUUACAAAUACCGUCGCUUGCAACUAAGGGUGAACAGUUGCAGAUAAUACAUUGUCUAUUCUCAUCACAAAGUUCGAUGUUUUUACUGAAAAAGUUCAAAGUUUGUGAUGAUCAUUUCAUGGUUUCAAAGCCAACCAAGCUUGUAGCUACUUGAACGUUAUAUUGGCUGAUCAGAUUAAAACAUGUCAACUAAGUGUUGUUGCUCAUGACAAACAUUGAAGAUUCUCACGCAAAUAUAUGUAAUGUUUUUAUGAGCAACCGUUCAUCGUUAGUUGCAAGCGACGGUACAACAUUGAUACCAUCAACAUUUUUCCGACUGUGUCCG